UGCAAAGGUUUACAAAUGUCAUUAUAGAAAUAGAAAAUUAUGUUCAGCACAAGGGAAAGUCUCAGUCAUGAUAGAGAAACAAAAGUGUGUGUGUGUGUGUGUGUGUUAGAGAGGGAGGGAGAAGGUACAGUACAAAUCCUAGACAGCGUGUGAGACAAAGCAGUCUUGGAUGGAGGGAUAAAUGGAGCGAGCAGAUAGAGGGGUGGAGUGGAGGAGAAGCUUUCAACCCCAUGUCCUCACUGCCUGGAACAGCUCAUGCACAUGAGUGGCUCUGUGUGUGUGUGUGUGUGUGUGUGUGUGUGUGUGUGUGUGUGUGUGUGUGUGUGUGUGUGUGUGUGUGUGUGUGUGUGUGUGUGUGUGUGUGUGUGUGUGUGUGUGUGUGUGUGUGUGUGUGUGUGUGUGUGUGUGUGUGUGUGUGUGUGUGUGUGUGUGUGUGUGUGUGUGUGUGUGUGUGUGUGUGUGUGUGUGUGUGUGUGUGUGUGUGUGUGUGUGUGUGUGUGUGUGUGUGUGUUGGUUUUUGUGGUUUACAAGGACUUUUGACCUGAAUACGCACCAGCAUUACAGGGACAUUUGGGUUUAUGAGGACAGGGCCCAUGUCCUUAUAAUUCCGACAGUGUAGAUGCCUUUCUCUAUGUCCCAGAAGCUCCCUCUCAAAUUUUCGCGCCAUGUCCUAAUAUACCACAAAACCCUGAAAUUUUACUAUACACUGUGUAUCCUCUGAGCUCGGGAGUGCGCCCCUGCAGCCCGGACCCGGUACUGCAUCCGCGUCAUCGAAAAUUUGCAUAUUUUACACUUGUGUAAGUUUGUAGGCCGCUGAUUGGCUAGAUCGGCAUCGGAGGGCGGGAAAUCGCGAAAACAAAAUGGCGGCGGUGGGCGGGGCUACAUUCUGCCGCUAAUAGCUCCGUACAACGAGGCAAGUGUGACGGUUUGUAACUUCCUGUUUGGAACGGACGCAAUCUGUGCACCUGAAGCGAAGACAUCUGUGGUGUGAAGCUGUUGGAGACAACUAUUAUAUUAAAGACACAUGAGAGGAUGGCUGAAGGUGCGAGACGAAGGAGAAAG